rnacentral:rRNA from 1 species
CUGCUGCCUCCCGUAGGAGUCUGGUCCGUGUCUCAGUACCAGUGCGGGGGGACCUUCCUCUCAGAACCCCUACGCAUCGUCGGUUAGGUGGGCCGUUACCCCGCCUACUGCCUAAUGCGCCGCAUGCCCAUCCCUGUCCGGCCGAAGCCUUUCCUGCCUCCGGGAUGCCCCGGUGGCAUGUACGCGGGUUUAGCCCGCCUUUCGGCGGGUUGUCCCCCUGACAGGGGCAGGUUGCAUACGUGUUACUCACCCGUGCGCCGGUCGCCGGCGGAGAAAG